rnacentral:rRNA from 1 species
UACGUAGGGUGCGAGCGUUGUCCGGAAUUAUUGGGCGUAAAGAGCUCGUAGGCGGUCUGUCGCGUCGGUCGUGAAAACUUGGGGCUUAACCCUGAGCUUGCGGUCGAUACGGGCAUGACUGGAGUUCGGUAGGGGAGACUGGAAUUCCUGGUGUAGCGGUGAAAUGCGCAGAUAUCAGGAGGAACACCGGUGGCGAAGGCGGGUCUCUGGGCCGAAAUUGACGCUGAGGAGCGAAAGCGUGGGGAGCAAACAGG